rnacentral:snRNA from 1 species
AGAUGUGAAGGCAAUCUGGCUUUGACAUCUGUCAUUCCAUUGUUCACCAGGGUUGAGUAGGCUAGAUACCUGUCCCCUCUUUCCUUCCUGAAGCUGUGGGUGACCAUUCCCCAUACAGAAGGACUAGUCUUCAGUCAAGGAUAUGCUAGUAGCAGCUCUCCCCUGGUAGAAUCUUCAGACAAGCUCUCAAAGUUUAGUUAUAGCUCAAGUAAACUUUUUGUUGUUGUUGGUCAUGGAGCUUUAACUCUGGGCCCGGGCCCUGUCCCU